rnacentral:rRNA from 1 species
GACAGAGGGUGCAAACGUUGCUCGGAAUUACUGGGCGUAAAGCGUGCGUAGGUGGUGAGUUAAGUCUGUCGUGAAAGCCCCGGGCUCAACCUGGGAAUGGCGAUGGAUACUGGCUCGCUAGAGUGCGGUAGAGGAGAGUGGAAUUCCCGGUGUAGCAGUGAAAUGCGUAGAGAUCGGGAGGAACAUCAGUUGCGAAGGCGGCUCUCUGGACCAGCACUGACACUGAGGCACGAAAGCGUGGGGAGCAAACAGG